ensembl:lncRNA
GGGAAAGCAUCUUUAGAGUUCCCGUGCACAGGGAGGGAAUUUUUCAGCUCACUUUGCCCCGGACAAAGCACGGAAUAACUGCAUUUAUCCAUCAAACCCGCUGUUGUCUAUUGAGCCGUGCUACUCCUCUUCUUGGGAAAUGAGGCAGGGAGGUAUCGGAGCGAUGGCAGAGAACGCAUUGGAAAGCAGCACCCAACGGAGGCAAACAUUGUGAACUGAACGUUUCAAAUCACCGGGCAAAGAAUAAGUAAAUAAAUAGUGGAAACUCCACACACGCCCUCUCCUCCGAGUCCCACUGCUUUGGGACAUCCCACAGUGGCAGCUGUGGCAUUCGGCUGCAGGAAGCAGCAGGAAGCAGAGGGAGAGGCGUGCAGUAUGCCUACCCCCAGGCUGCAUCGCCGCCUGCUCUUUAGCCCUGUCUGCUGGCAGUGAUCGACGCAGAAGGGAACGCUGAACGUCAAAGAAGGCUGGGAUUAAAACCUGGGGGCCGUGUUUCAAGAAACACUUCAAAAUGAAAAGAACGGUGUGGAAGAGACGGAAAUCCACAGCAAAAAGGUACAGGAGAAACAGCCUAGCGAAGGCAGAGGUGCAGAACAAACAGAAUAACAUGGGACAAGGCAGAAAAAUAGAAUAGCAAGAAGGCUACAAGAGAACCACUAAAGCCCUGGGGGAGCUCCUGCAAAACCACCCUCAGAAUGACAGCGUUGGGGGCAUCCCGGGACAUCCCAGCUGCAGGGCAGGGAGCCUGGGAAUCCAGAGAGCCAGCCUGGGAACUGCCAAGGAACUUGUAUGUGCCACAGUCCUGCAAAGCCCUAAGGUCGUGGCACUGGCACAUGGCGUGGAAGGGCCAUAUACAGCCCAGAUGGGUUUUCUCACCAUGGUAAACUCAGAGACUAGAGCCUGUUUGUAAGCCAGGAAGAGUUUUCUUGUCUUCAUUAGAAGUGGAUUCAAGGAGUUUCAAAUGAAAGAGCCGAAGGCCAGCAAAUGGGCUUUUUUCAUUGCAGCAAAAUUUCUACCAACUACUGUGAUUAAUGGCUUUUGAAAUCUCAGUUCUUUCUGAUUUAUAAAAUGGAAUCGCGUGCAAUAGCCACAUGCUGCGAGUUCUUCGUGAGGUAAUUUAAACUUGUAUACGUGGCUGUCC